AGGAAUGGAGCUGCUAGAGGUAGUCCUGUCACCGGAUGGCUCGUCGUCAAUGGUGAUGUGAGGAAUUGGGCUUUUCGUCUUUUGUUAAAAUAGUAUGGCGAAUGAAUUUUCAAUACUGCAGCUCGGCUAAGCUCGGCUUCAGCUCUCUUUACUGGUACUAGCUCCAGCCUGCUUGUGUGUCUCCCGGAUAUUCUUUGCCUCUUUUUUAUCGAAGUGACAGGUCAGUUUUGUUCUCUAGUUUGCCCAUCACUUCGAAAUUGGUAGUCUCUUUCUCUCAGAAAAAUGAGAAAUAGGAGUACCUGCCAGCCACUGAGCAACUGGAACACUGGAAGCAAUGACCGGGGCUCUUGGAGGCCAAUGGCUGCUGCUGAUUAAUGUUAUGGUUGAUCUUAUCAUGAUAGAAAUUGGUCGGUCUCCUUUUUAUCCAGUGUUUAAUUCGUAUCUUAUCUUUUGGCUCCUUUUUUUAUGUGCCAUGCUGACACACUCAGCGACUGAAGAUAUCUUGGAGCAUAGUGUAUUAGCUAUUCUGUCGAAUCUGUUUUAAGCCGUUUGUCUGUUGCAUAUCAUGGCACAAGACAUAGUCAGAAUUCAGAAUUGAUUA